rnacentral:rRNA from 1 species
CCUACGGGCGGCAGCAGUGGGGAAUAUUGGACAAUGGGGGGAACCCUGAUCCAGCCAUGCCGCGUGUGUGAAGAAGGCCCUCGGGUUGUAAAGCACUUUCAGUGAGGAAGAACGCCUGGUGGUUAAUACCCAUCAGGAAAGACAUCACUCACAGAAGAAGCACCGGCUGACUCCGUGCCAGCAGCCGCGGUAAUACGGAGGGUGCGAGCGUUAAUCGGAAUUACUGGGCGUAAAGCGCGCGUAGGUGGCUUGAUAAGCCGGUUGUGAAAGCCCCGGGCUCAACCUGGGAACGGCAUCCGGAACUGUCAAGCUAGAGUGCAGGAGAGGAAGGUAGAAUUCCCGGUGUAGCGGUGAAAUGCGUAGAGAUCGGGAGGAAUACCAGUGGCGAAGGCGGCCUUCUGGACUGACACUGACACUGAGGUGCGAAAGCGUGGGUAGCAAACAGGAUUAGAUACCCUUGUAGUC